UGGGGAAUAUUGCGCAAUGGGGGAAACCCUGACGCAGCAACGCCGCGUGAGUGAAGAAGGUUUUCGGAUCGUAAAGCUCUGUCAUUGGGGACGAAUAAAUGACGGUACCUGACUAAGAAGCCCCGGCUAACUACGUGCCAGCAGCCGCGGUAAUACGUAGGGGGCAAGCGUUAUCCGGAUUUACUGGGUGUAAAGGGAGCGUAGGCGGCAAGACAAGUCUGAUGUGAAAGCCCGGGGCUCAACCCCGGGACUGCAUUGGAAACUGUUUAGCUAGAGUGUCGGAGAGGUAAGUGGAAUUCCUAGUGUAGCGGUGAAAUGCGUAGAUAUUAGGAGGAACAUCAGUGGCGAAGGCGACUUACUGGACGAUAACUGACGCUGAGGCUCGAAAGCGUGGGGAGCAAACAGG
rnacentral:rRNA from 1 species